rnacentral:lncRNA from 1 species
GGCUCCGGGCGGGCGUGGUCCCUCUUGCGGGCGCCUGGGCUGGUCGGGCGGAUCCCGGAGAGGGGGAGCCGCGGGGACGCAGCGACAGACUCGGGGUGCUGGCAGCGGCAGCCCACGCCUCCCAGGGAUUGCAGGCCUGGGCGCCGGGGUUGGACCAGUCUCCCGGGCAUGGCACGCCCUGGUUAUUCUGUACCCGUGAUUUGUGGCGGGGCAAGACGUUAAGUUGGGUGACACCGAGUGACACCAGUGAUGCUGUUAAACAAGGACAAUCCGGUUCAUGGAUUGUGACAACGCACGCUGACAUCAAGCAGACCCUGCCGUCAGGUACAGAGGGCACCACAGUGACCAGGAACUGCUGUCCUUUCAUACCAGGUUUUAGGAGGCUUUACCAGAAGGAAUGGAAAAUGCUGGUGGGCAGUAAGAUUGAAACAGCAUCUGAGGACUGGUUCUGCACAAAACCUUAAAUUCUUCAAGGACUUUGACAUUUGUUUAUUCUUGUAACAAAUUAAAACCUAUCCUGUGUGUUGGUUAGAGAUCUUCAAACUGUAAAUACCUUGAGGCAGGAGUGAGGUUUUUAUCUUUUAAAGGACAGGCCCCUACUCUCCUACGUAAUGAGUUUCUAAAAAUGGAUGUGAGCACCAAUCAAUAUUUCUCUGGUUGUUAAAGUCAAGAAUAAAAUGGUAUUUUUAAGCUCGCAA